GCACAUAUACUGAGUUUAUACUAAAUUUGGAAUGGUACAUAGAAGGUUAACAUGGCUCCUUCACAAGUAUGACACUCCAAUUUGUAAAGCUUUCCAUAUUUUA